UACGUAGGUGGCAAGCGUUGUCCGGAUUUACUGGGUGUAAAGGGCGUGUAGGCGGAGAUGCAAGUUGGGAGUGAAAUCCCGGGGCUCAACCCCGGAACUGCUUUCAAAACUGCAUCCCUUGAGUGUCGGAGAGGCAAGCGGAAUUCCUAGUGUAGCGGUGAAAUGCGUAGAUAUUAGGAGGAACACCAGUGGCGAAGGCGGCUUGCUGGACGAUAACUGACGCUGAGGCGCGAAAGCGUGGGGAGCAAACAGG
rnacentral:rRNA from 1 species